CCUACGGGGUGCUGCAGUGGGGAAUAUUGGACAAUGGGCGAAAGCCUGAUCCAGCCAUGCCGCGUGUGUGAAGAAGGCCUUCGGGUUGUAAAGCACUUUCAGUGGGGAAGAAAGCCUUGGGGCUAAUACCCUCGAGGAAGGACAUCACCCACAGAAGAAGCACCGGCUAACUCCGUGCCAGCAGCCGCGGUAAUACGGAGGGUGCGAGCGUUAAUCGGAAUUACUGGGCGUAAAGCGCGCGUAGGCGGUCUGAUAAGCCGGUUGUGAAAGCCCCGGGCUCAACCUGGGAACGGCAUCCGGAACUGUCAGGCUUGAGUGCAGGUGAGGAAGGUAGAAUUCCCGGUGUAGCGGUGAAAUGCGUAGAGAUCGGGAGGAAUACCGGUGGCGAAGGCGGCCUUCUGGACUGACACUGACGCUGAGGUGCGAAAGCGUGGGUAGCAAACAGGAUUAGAUACCCUAGUAGUC
rnacentral:rRNA from 1 species